AUUGAACGCUGGCGGAAUGCUUUACACAUGCAAGUCGAGCGGCAGCGCGGCCUUCGGGCUGGCGGCGAGCGGCGAACGGGUGAGUAAUGCAUCGGGACAUGCCCAGUCGUGGGGGAUAACACUUCGAAAGAAGUGCUAAUACCGCAUACGUCCUGAGGGGGAAAGCGGGGGAUCGCAAGACCUCGCGCGAUUGGAGUGGCCGAUGUCAGAUUAGCUAGUUGGUGGGGUAAAGGCCUACCAAGGCGACGAUCUGUAGCUGGUCUGAGAGGAUGAUCAGCCACACUGGGACUGAGACACGGCCCAGACUCCUACGGGAGGCAGCAGUGGGGAAUUUUGGACAAUGGGGGCAACCCUGAUCCAGCCAUUCCGCGUGAGUGAAGAAGGCCUUCGGGUUGUAAAGCUCUUUCGGCAGGAACGAAACGGUGGGCUCUAACAUAGUCCGCUAAUGACGGUACCUGAAGAAGAAGCACCGGCUAACUACGUG
rnacentral:rRNA from 1 species